GGAGUUUCUCACAAGCUCCCUUAAAUCACUCGACAUCACUAAACCACCUCUUACUGGACCAUCACCGUUACUCGUUUGCAUCAAACCGGGUUGUUCAAACUGAGAUUCAGACGAGAAGCUUGAGGAGCAUGGUGAAGAUGAAAAGGACAGCCUAGAUGAUGAUUCAGAGGAGACUACUCCCCUCUGUUUCUCUUUUGCAGCCUUCUUCUUCUUACUCUUCUCCUGCAAUUCAGGUUUUGAGUUGAGAGAACAUUGCAAGCAAAGACUUAAAGAGAGAAAAAUGUUACCUGAAGGCAGAGACCUGAGUUCAUCUCCGGCUACAACAACACGUCUCGCAGGAUAAUGUUGCCGGUAAAAAACCUGGAAGAUCCCAUUCAUACAUCCAAACUGUUUAUUUAGAUUUGGAUUCUCAUCUGACAAGUUAUACAAAAGCUUUGCCGACAUCUUCUUAGCUCUGGUUCGUAUAAGGUUUAGUCUUCUUUUAUUUUCUCAUGUACAGUUCUUGAAAAUCUUCAGUUUCAGGAUUCUCCUUUGUUAUGUGUCUCAUUGAAAGUAGAAGAAGAGAGAGGAGGACAACGUAGAACCCAGCAUUUAGACAACGGUAAAGCUACUUUGUGAAGUUAUGACCAGACAAGAUAUUAGGUUUCUCUGUGUUUGUUCUCUUGGAUGGUUUCCUUGAAGAAGAAAGAAGAGGAGGAGAAAAUAAAAGUUUUUUUUUUCUUUUCUCCUUUGUGUUGUUUUGAGAGAAAUGAAUCUGUAAAAGGCUAAAGUACUCUCUACAAUUAUAUGGAGAAGCUCGUGAAAGCUCGUGAAGCAUAUAUAACAUCGGUUGUGUGA